UGUGGGGUUGAGUUAAACUUAAAGUUUACUUCUUAAUAUGGCACCAAAGUUAGGUUAGAACCUAUCCUAGCGAGAUUUGUUGUUUGUUGGACAUGUUCCACCUGUUAUUGGACCACCCAUUAAUCUCUAGUUUCACGCUUGAGAUGUAUAUACCUCAGCAUGAAGGGGUGUAUUGGAAGUUUCACGUCAACUAGAGAUAAACCAAUUUAUAAUAUCAAUUUAGAUGGUAUCUAGAGCCUAAAGUUCUUUUUGAGAUAUGAGUGAAUUUUGUGGAUUUUGAAUUAGUCAAAUAGUUGAGAGAGAAUUAAAAGAAUUAUGUAGAGAAAGAAAAAAAAGGUGUUUAUUAUGAAACUAAGAACCAAAGAAAACAUUGAAUAUAAGGUUUUUAGGCUACUUAAUAAAUUAUAGUUGUUUUAGUAAUUUAGAAUGGGGAUCACUAUGAGGAUGAGGACGUGGAGGAUAUGUGCAUAUGCAUCCCUAUCUGUGUACUCAAUUUAAAAACUUUGGUAUUAAUCAUACCUAUAUAUCCAGUCUAUACAUAGAAAUUUCUUGUCAAAAUUGGGUCGGGUUCGGAGAAUGGCAUAGAGCUGAGUUUUUUUUCCAUGCCUAAUAGCAAUACAUCACAAUACUCGAUAAAUAUUAUUCGGUAUCCUUUCUCUCAAUUUCAUCCUUCAAUUCCUAAAGUCCUUUAAGUAUUUUCUUGAGCAUUUUAGGCUGUUACAAUGCUCAUUCAAUGAGUUCAUAGUUCCGGUACUUGUCUUUUUUCUUUAAUAAUUAAAUAAUUUGGCUACUAAGGACUGAGUUCCCUUUCUCAUUUGUAAAUAUAUGUACAAUGAUGUUUGUGAUUUGACUCGCUGGUUAUUUGCACUACGAGCAAUGCAGGAAGUCGUUAAUUAGAGAGGCGCAGCUAGCUUUCAACUCAAAGAUUCCCGAGUCAUUGAGAAAGGAUUUGAUUGAACGACUCAAACCUUUAUCCAAGAAAACAAUACAAUUUUAAGGACCUUGAUCUGAGCAUGCGUAGGAGCAUGUUGAUCUUGUCUUGAUAGUGAGGCGUGGUGUGUAUACUCUGUAUUACUAAUUAUUGUAGUGAUGGCGUUACCCUUACUAGGAUACUAGUUUGGGUUUGUGACAUACUAACUCUUUGAGCUAGUGCUGGCGGUAGGAGGAGGAGAAUAUGGAAACUUGUUAUCAUCGAAGUUUGGCUUUGUUAUGCUUCUAGUUUCAUGCAUAUUUGAGCUAGAAGUCCAGAUUUCAUGUCUUGCCACAAGUUUUCAUUCUCUAUGUAGGCUAUGAAGUUGUAUUGAAUCUUGAGGAGAGCAUGCCAGGAAUUCUAUUCAUUCUGUACAAUCUACUUUAGUCAUGUGUACUGGAGCAAAAUCUUAAUUUUCUAUAAAAUUGCUCAAAAAAUUUUGCACCGAAAAAGUGGCUGUGCAUGACUUAUGAUACACGCGUUAUCCAAUGACUUCUAUAUCGAUAUUUUCCGUUGAAAAAGCAUAACUCUCAAUUUUUAGAUUUGUGAUUCAGUUUUUGAUGGCCAUCAGCGACUAAGUAACUUGGUUAAAAAAUCAAGAAACUGUAGAAUGUCUUAGAAGCUGCAAAUAUUUUAGUCGAUAAAAGAAGUCUCCACUCAAAUAUUCAAACUCAUCUGUAAGUUGUGCGGCUAAAUGAUACAACUGUGGCUGAAGAAAAUGAAGAUAAAAAGAUAACCAGUCCACUGAAGCGACACUCCUGUAUAUUUUGGUAAGAUUUUUGCUUCCUGCACCCCAUGAUUACUAGCUGGACAUCCAUGUUAU